GUCCACGCCGUAAACGAUGAGUGCUAGAUGUCGCGGGCAUUGACCCCUGCGGUGUCGUAGCUAACGCAUUAAGCACUCCGCCUGGGGAGUACGGCCGCAAGGCUAAAACUCAAAGGAAUUGACGGGGGCCCCGCACAAGCGGUGGAGCAUGUGGUUUAAUUCGACGCAACGCGCAGAACCUUACCUGGGCUAGAAACGGCAAGAAAGCGGGUGAAAACUCGCUGUGCUCUUCGGAGAAUUUGUCGCUAGGUGCUGCAUGGCUGUCGU
rnacentral:rRNA from 1 species